rnacentral:misc_RNA from 1 species
GAUGAAGAACGUAGCGAAAUGCGAUAAGUAGUGUGAAUUGCAGAAUUCAGUGAAUCAUCGAAUCUUUGAACGCACAUUGCGCCCUUUGGUAUUCCUUAGGGCAUGCCUGUUCGAGCGUCAUUUAAACCUUCACGCUAAGCUUGGUGUUGGGUGACUGUCCGCUUCACUGCGGACUCGCCUCAAAAUUAUUGGCGGCCGGUACAUUGGCUUCGAGCGCAGCAGAAACGCGAACUCGGGCCCGUCGUAUUGGCUCCCAGAAGCUAUCUUCACAAUUUUGACCUCGGAUCAGGUAGGGAUACCCGCUGAACUUAAGCAUAUCAAUAAGCGGAGGA